UACGUAGGUGGCAAGCGUUGUCCGGAUUUACUGGGCGUAAAGGGCGUGCAGGCGGUCUGUUAAGUCUAGGGUGAAAGCUCCCGGCUCAACUGGAAGAGGUCCUUGGAUACUGGCGGACUUGAGGGAGGCAGAGGAAAGUGGAAUUCCCGGUGUAGUGGUGAUAUGCGUAGAUAUCGGGAGGAACACCAGUGGCGAAGGCGGCUUUCUGGGCCUUACCUGACGCUGAGACGCGAAAGCGUGGGGAGCGAACCGG
rnacentral:rRNA from 1 species